GAUGAACGCUGGCGGCGUGCCUAAUACAUGCCAGUCGAGCGAACAGACGAGGAGCUUGCUCCUCUGACGUUAGCGGCGGACGGGUGAGUAACACGUGGAUAACCUACCUAUAAGACUGGGAUAACUUCGGGAAACCGGAGCUAAUACCGGAUAAUAUAUUGAACCGCAUGGUUCAAUAGUGAAAGACGGUUUUGCUGUCACUUAUAGAUGGAUCCGCGCCGCAUUAGCUAGUUGGUAAGGUAACGGCUUACCAAGGCAACGAUGCGUAGCCGACCUGAGAGGGUGAUCGGCCACACUGGAACUGAGACACGGUCCAGACUCCUACGGGAGGCAGCGGUAGGGAAUCUUCCGCAAUGGGCGAAAGCUUGACGGAGCAACGCCGCGUGAGUGAUGAAGGUCUUCGGAUCGUAAAACUCUGUUAUUAGGGAAGAACAAAUGUGUAAGUAACUAUGCACGUCUUGACGGUACCUAAUCAGAAAGCCACGGCUAACUACGUG
rnacentral:rRNA from 1 species